UACAGAGGUCUCAAGCGUUGUUCGGAUUCAUUGGGCGUAAAGGGUGCGUAGGCGGCGCGGUAAGUCGGGUGUGAAAUCUCGGGGCUUAACUCCGAAACUGCAUUCGAUACUGCCGUGCUUGAGGACUGGAGAGGAGACUGGAAUUUACGGUGUAGCGGUGAAAUGCGUAGAUAUCGUAAGGAAGACCAGUGGCGAAGGCGGGUCUCUGGGCCGAAACUGACGCUGAGGAGCGAAAGCGUGGGGAGCGAACAGG
rnacentral:rRNA from 1 species